GUUUCUUUGGCCGAGUGGUUAAGGCGUGUGCCUGCAAAGUACAUGGGAUUUCCCUGUAAGAGUUCGAAUCUCUCAGGCGAUG
rnacentral:tRNA from 1 species